GACGAACGCUGGCGGCGUGCUUAACACAUGCAAGUCGAACGAUGAAGCCCAGCUUGCUGGGUGGAUUAGUGGCGAACGGGUGAGUAACACGUGGGCAACCUGCCCCAAACUCUGGGAUAACUCCUCGAAAGAGGUGCUAAUACCGGAUACGAAAUAGGUAGACAUCUGCACUAGUUGGAAAGUUUUUCGGUUUGGGAUGGGCCCGCGGCCGAACAGCUUGGUGGUGAGGUAACGGCUCACCAAGGCUACGACGGGUAACCGGCCGGAGGGGGCGACCGGUCACACUGGGACUGAGACACGGCCCAGACUCCUACGGGAGGCAGCAGUGGGGAAUAUUGCGCAAUGGGCGAAAGCCUGACGCAGCGACGCCGCGUGAGGGAUGAAGGUCUUCGGAUCGUAAACCUCUUUCAGUAGGGACGAAGCGAAAGUGACGGUACCUAAAGAAGAAGCACCGGCUAACUACGUGCCAGCCGCCGCCGUAA
rnacentral:rRNA from 1 species